rnacentral:rRNA from 1 species
AUUGAACGCUGGCGGCAGGCCUAACACAUGCAAGUCGAGCGGAUGAAGAGAGCUUGCUCUCUGAUUCAGCGGCGGACGGGUGAGUAAUGCCUAGGAAUCUGCCUGGUAGUGGGGGACAACGUUUCGAAAGGAACGCUAAUACCGCAUACGUCCUACGGGAGAAAGCAGGGGACCUUCGGGCCUUGCGCUAUCAGAUGAGCCUCGGUCGGAUUAGCUAGUAGGUGAGGUAAAGGCUCACCUAGGCGACGAUCCGUAACUGGUCUGAGAGGAUGAUCAGUCACACUGGAACUGAGACACGGUCCAGACUCCUACGGGAGGCAGCAGUGGGGAAUAUUGGACAAUGGGCGAAAGCCUGAUCCAGCCAUGCCGCGUGUGUGAAGAAGGUCUUCGGAUUGUAAAGCACUUUAAGUUGGGAGGAAGGGCAGUAAGUUAAUACCUUGCUGUUUUGACGUUACCAACAGAAUAAGCACCGGCUAACUUCGUGCCAGCAGCCGCGGUAAAAC